UUGCAAUUCUGAAAAACGUAUUCAUUAUUCAAUACUACCGUGUCCAAAUCGAGUAGGUUCUCUAUCUCAGUGUUCAUAGGAGCUUUUUUCAGUCCAAGUGGAAAUUUAGGCAUGAAACCAUCUACAGUCAGAUUAGAAUUUCGUAAAGGGUGGUUACUGAAAUUGCAAAACCGUUUAUAUAGUUCUCGACAGUCGAUAUGACUGGAACCUACCCAAACGGUAAACUAGAAAUACUUGCAAAUAUAGGACUUUAUAAACAUAUUCAAAAUAAUAUCGUAACUUGAAAGUGUUAGGUAAUAGGUAAUACAAUUGACACUGUAUCAGUUUUUCUCCUGAAGAUAUUGACUUGGUUAGUAAUGAAAUAUGUGUUGAGUUCGAGUGUUGUCAGUUUUCGUGUAGCUGAUGAAAUUUAAUAUCACAACUUGAAAGAGUUAUUCACUGGACAUCACUGAUAUAAUUUACUCAUCAGUUACAAAAAACUAAAAAUACUCUCGCUGGACGCAUCUUCUGCUACCCACUAGGAAACAUUCAUCUAACACCAACAUACGUUCCAUGUUGUGCUAACUUCCUUCAUAAAUGUUUGCUAAAUGAACAUCUAAAAUAUUUAUUUCCAUAAAUUCUGAAAAAUGUUUCUUCAGUCACUUAUAUAUGAUGUUACACAUACAUUCGAAAAAUGUAAUUGGCUUUUAUUAUAUUUCUGUUAUAAUGUGUUGAAAAUAUAUCUAUUACAUUGAAUUAUAUUUUUCACAUGUUCAUUUCAUCAGAUAAAAUGACAUAUUGUUUACUUUACUGUGAUAGGUAUAUUUUCAAUUUUUUGCAAUCCUGAAAAACGUAUUCAUUAUUCAAUAGUGCCAUUUCCAAAUCGAGUAGGUCCUAUUCCUCUAUUCUGUGUUCAUAGGUGAGUUCCGUAACAGCACUACGACACGAGAUGAAAGGGGUUAUAGGUUAAGUUUAUUUUAUGGUGAGGUGACGGUGAUAUGACUGUGGUGAUAUAUGAUAUUAGUCAAAGAGUGUCAAAGAGUAUGGUAAAUUUCCCGAGAAGUUCAACAAACUAAUGCUGGUCGGGGGGAUCAGAUUAUGAAAAUUUAAUGAAAUUACGGCCAACUCUUUUCAAGGAUCAAUUGGCAAUGAUGUGUUCCUGGACAGGGCAAAAAGUGUUAUUAAUGGUUUAUGGCGGUGACGGCUAUCUU